rnacentral:lncRNA from 1 species
GGGCAUCACAAUUAGAUUUAACACCACCUUCAUACUCAAUUAGAUGGCCGAAUGUAUGUAUAUAUGUACAAUGUCAACUAUAACAUCAUUUAAACACCUAAUUUCAUCUCAUGAACACUUGAUCGAAUUUUCCUAAUCUAGCAUAUUUUCACAUCUAUUUGUAACAUCAUGUAAAUCCACAUAUAACUACAUUUCUUAAGUUCCACAUCUUAAUGCCCAUUAUAGCCACUCCCAUAGUCUAAAUCUAACAAUCGGCAACACCUACCUUUCCACUAUGUUAGCCGAAUACUCAUUCUCUUCUUAGUCCUAAAUUCGGCACCUCCAACAAAAUAGCUUAACAAUUUCAACUUUCAUGCUAACAUAACAAGCAACUUAACACAUCCAUA